GACGUAGGGUGCGAGCGUUGUCCGGAUUUAUUGGGCGUAAAGAGCUCGUAGGCGGCUCGUCGCGUCGACCGUGAAAACCCGCGGCUUAACUGCGGGCUUGCGGUUGAUACGGGCGGGCUAGAGUUCGGUAGGGGAGACUGGAAUUCCUGGUGUAGCGGUGAAAUGCGCAGAUAUCUGGAGGAACACCGGUGGCGAAGGCGGCAUCCUGGACCGGUAUUGACGCUGAGGCGCGAAAGCUAGGGGAGCAAACGGG
rnacentral:rRNA from 1 species